AUUCCCGUCAUCUAGUUGGUAAGGAUACGACACUUUCACUGUCGGUACACGAGUUCGAGUCUCGUCGGGAAUA
rnacentral:tRNA from 1 species